GAUGAACGCUAGCGGGAGGCCUAACACAUGCAAGCCGAGCGGUAUUGUUUCUUCGGAAAUGAGAGAGCGGCGUACGGGCGCGGAACACGUGUGCAACCUGCCUUUAUCUGGGGGAUAGCCUUUCGAAAGGAAGAUUAAUACUCCAUAAUAUAUUGAUUGGCAUCAAUUAAUAUUGAAAGCUCCGGCGGAUAGAGAUGGGCACGCGCAAGAUUAGCUAGUUGGUGAGGUAACGGCUCACCAAGGCGAUGAUCUUUAGGGGGCCUGAGAGGGUGAUCCCCCACACUGGUACUGAGACACGGACCAGACUCCUACGGGAGGCAGCAGUGAGGAAUAUUGGUCAAUGGGUGCAAGCCUGAACCAGCCAUCCCGCGUGAAGGACGACUGCCCUAUGGGUUGUAAACUUCUUUUGUAUAGGGAUAAACCUACCCUCGUGAGGGUAGCUGAAGGUACUAUACGAAUAAGCACCGGCUAACUCCGUGCCAGCAGCCGCGGUAAUACGGAGGGUGCAAGCGUUAUCCGGAUUUAUUGGGUUUAAAGGGUCCGUAGGCGGACUUAUAAGUCAGUGGUGAAAUCCUGUCGCUUAACGAUAGAACUGCCAUUGAUACUGUAAGUCUUGAGUAUAUUUGAGGUAGCUGGAAUAAGUAGUGUAGCGGUGAAAUGCAUAGAUAUUACUUAGAACACCAAUUGCGAAGGCAGGUUACCAAGAUAUAACUGACGCUGAGGGACGAAAGCGUGGGGAGCGAACAGGAUUAGAUACCCUGGUAGUCCACGCCGUAAACGAUGCUAACUCGUUUUUGGGCUUUAGGGUUCAGAGACCAAGCGAAAGUGAUAAGUUAGCCACCUGGGGAGUACGCUCGCAAGAGUGAAGCUCAAAGGAAUUGACGGGGGCCCGCACAAGCGGUGGAUUAUGUGGUUUAAUUCGAUGAUACGCGAGGAACCUUACCAAGACUUAAAUGGGAAUUGACAGGUUUAGAAAUAGAUCUUUCUUCGGACAAUUUUCAAGGUGCUGCAUGGUUGUCGUCAGCUCGUGCCGUGAGGUGUUAGGUUAAGUCCUGCAACGAGCGCAACCCCUGUCACUAGUUGCCAUUAUUCAGUUGGGGACUCUAGUGAGACUGCCUACGCAAGUAGAGAGGAAGGUGGGGAUGACGUCAAAUCAUCACGGCCCUUACGUCUUGGGCCACACACGUAAUACAAUGGCCGGUACAGAGGGCAGCUACACAGCGAUGUGAUGCAAAUCUCGAAAGCCGGUCUCAGUUCGGAUUGGAGUCUGCAACUCGACUCUAUGAAGCUGGAAUCGCUAGUAAUCGCGCAUCAGCCAUGGCGCGGUGAAUACGUUCCCGGGCCU
rnacentral:rRNA from 1 species